CCCCUCUCGGUGUCACACCUGGAGAGUUUCCAGUGCUCUACCAGUCUCGGCUAAGGGAGGGAGAGUCAAGCAGAGGCCUACCUGUUCCAUUCUUAGCUUGGUCAGUGGCUGGCUACUGGCAGACAAUCUGCUACAAGU